ACGUAUGGGCUGCCGGGAAUACUGUAAAGCUAGGGAGUGGGAGAGGUAGACGGUACUCGGGAGGAAGGGGUAAAAUCCUUUGAUCUCUCGAUGACCACCUGUGGCGAAGGCGGUCUACCAGAACACGUCCGACGGUGAGGGAUGAAAGCUGGGGGAGCAAACCGGAUUAGAUACCCGGGUAGUCCCAGCUGUAAACUAUGCAAACUCAGUGAUGCAUUGGCUUGAUGCCAAUGCAGUGUUGCAGGGAAGCCGUUAAGUUUGCCGCCUGGGAAGUACGUACGCAAGUAUGAAACUUAAAGGAAUUGGCGGGGGAGCACCACAAGGGGUGAAGCCUGCGGUUCAAUUGGAGUCAACGCCAGAAAUCUUACCCGGAGAGACAGCAGAAUGAAGGUCAAGCUGAAGACUUUACCAGACAAGCUGAGAGGUGGUGCAUGGCCGUCGCCAGCUCGUGCCGUGAGAUGUCCUGUUAAGCCAGGUAACGAGCGAGAUCCUUGCCUCUAGUUGCCACCAUUAUUCUCAGGAGUAGUGGGGCGAAUUAGCGGGACCGCCGUAGUUAAUACGGAGGAAGGAAGGGGCCACGGCAGGUCAGUAUGCCCCGAAACUCUGGGGCCACACGCGGGCUGCAAUGGUAACGACAAUGUGUUCCGAAUCCGAAAGGAGGAGGUAAUCCUCAAACGUUACCACAGUUAUGACUGAGGGCUGCAACUCGCCCUCACGAAUAUGGAAUCCCUAGUAACUGCGUGUCAUUAUCGCGCGGUGAAUACGUCCCUGCUCCUUGCACACACCGCCCG
rnacentral:rRNA from 1 species